GAUUUCUAUCGAUUCUUUUCCCCCUCCCUUUGUUUCUUUUCUGUCGGCUUUACUGUCGUCUUUGAACAGUAUCAAAUCCUUCCUCCACUAUUUUCUCUGCUCUCCUUCCCUUACCCAACACCCCCCUCCUCCCCUCUGUCACUCUGUCCCUCACUGUUGUCUCCUACUAUUACGAUCACAACAAGAUUAUAUUAAUUGGUAAGCAGCAGCAGCAUCAGAGGAAGAAGCAAAGCUUUAUAAGAGAGAGAGAGAGAGAGAGAGAGUUGAGUCGUUCGUUGCUGGGGAGGGGAGGGGAGGGGAAGGGAGAGGGGGGCUUCCAUGACGGUCGAGAACGAGAGCCAUCGACACCACCACCAACUCUUGCCGCCUCUGCAGCCUCAAAGACGCAUCCCUUCGUCCACGUGCGACCUGCACCCGGGCGAGACGGUCACCGGCUUCUGCGCCUCCUGCCUCCGCGAGCGCCUCGCGGGGCUCGAGGCACCUGCCGCAGCCUCCGGCCGUAGGUCCACCUCUGCCCUUCGAUCCGUCUUCUCCAUGGUCACCGUCGGCGCGGGCCCUGCCGCCGGGCCGUCCUCCCUCCGCCGCUCCAAGUCCUUCUCGUUCAGCCGUGGCGGCGACGUCUUCUCGGCGCAGCGGCCCCGCGCAUCCGCCUUGGAACCCCAGCGCAGGUCCUGCGACGUCCGCGGCCGCAGCACCCUUUGGUCCCUCUUCCAUCAGGACGACCGGGACAGGGUGGGUCAGAACCCUUCCAUCCCACCCUUCUCCUCCUCCUCCUCUUCCUCCACCUCAACCUCCUCCGAGGCGGCGGCGGCGACGGCGCCGUCCACGAGCGGAGCGAUCGAGGUGGACUGCCGGAACCAAGGGCUUCCGGGCCCCUCCCUCGCUCCUCCAGUUUCCGGAACAUGCGAAGAGUAUGAGAUCGGCCAUGAGAUCAGGCCCAUUGGAACCUCGGGGGAGAUAAAUGAGGAAGGAAAGGGAGCAGCGGAGGAGGAAAUGGAGCUGAAGCCGAUGAAGGACCACAUAAAUCUCGACUCCGAGCAGCAGCAGCAGCAUCAGGCGAAGAAGCCACCGCAAAAGGACUUCAAGGAGAUCGCCAGCAGCGUCUGGCUCGCCGCCUCCGUCUUCAGCAAAAAGCUCCAGAAAUGGCGGAGAAGACAGAAGCCAAAGAACCAAGGUGGCGAAGCGACAAUGCCGGCGGAGGAACCCCCUAAAACGUCGCGGCGGUUCCACGACACGCAGUCGGAAGUCGCCAUGGACUGCUCCGGCCGAAGAUCCUGCGAUACCGACCCCCGCUUCUCUCUGGACGCCGCCCGGAUGUCCAUCGACGACCCCAGGUUCUCCUGGGACGAGCCGAGGGCCUCAUGGGACGGCUACCUGAUCGGAGGCCGAUCAGUGUUCCCUCGUCUCCCUCCCAUUCUCUCCGUCGUCGAGGACGCCCCUGCCCCGGCAGUCCAGCGGUCGGACUACCUUAUCCCCGUCGAGGCAGAUGCCGCCAUCCCAGGCGGGACGGCACAGACCCGGGACUACUACUUGGAUUCAUCCAGCCAGCGCCGGCGAAGCCUUGACCGAUCGAGCUCCAUCAGGGAGCAGCCUGUCGAGAUCAGUGAGCCAAAGCCGGUCUCCAACAGCAGAGUAUCCCCUGCAGGUGGCAUGGACUUCUUCCCCUUCCACCAUGGUGCCUCACUUGAGCGGGAGGUAAAAGAUUGGAGCUCAAAUUCCCUGAGAGAUGAUUACUCCGGCAGUUUUGAGUCAGCUUUUAGGGACCUUAACAAAGGUGCUUCCGCGAAGAAGUCAAGUAGGUGGAGCAAAGCAUGGAACAUUUGGGGGCUUCUUCAGCGAAGAAAUAGUAGCAGAGGAGAAGCCAAUAUGGUUGACAGAUCCUUGUCGGAGUCAUGGCCGGAGCUGCGGUGCAAGAGCACCAAUGGCAGGAUUCUAAGGAGUAACAGCAGUGUAAGCUCGAGGGUCUCUUCUCAUGCCAAUGCUGGGUAUGGGGUGAUGAGAACGAGCAGCAUGAGGUCCAGUGGGAAUGAUAAGAAGAAGAGUAGAGAUGAACCCGUUCUGGAGAGGAAUAGAAGUGCUAGAUAUUCUCCAAACCAUAUUGAGAACGGUAUGCUGCGGUUUUACUUGACACCAAAGCGAAAUGCACGGAGGAAUGGAGUUUCAGCUAGCCGAAGGCAGAUGAUGCCUUCGCCUUACCUUGCAAGAAGCAUGCUAGGACUGUAUUGAUCUGACUGUUGAACUCUAUCAGCUGGAAAGGAGCCAAUUUGAAGAUUGAAGACUGCAGCACACUUCAGAAGGUCGAACCUACUAAAAGGGAUCGAAGUGGGAUGAUAUCUAAGAAGAUAGGAUUCAUCAGCUGGGAUUGUACUCUUGCCUUGUUUGUUCAUGAACCUCCACUGCCAAGUUAUUAGAUUUUGUUUGGGACAAAUUUGAAGUCAGCUUGAUGGUGAACACUAGUAACAUAUGCACGACUAGGGAUUGGGAGGGUCAAGAGCUGAAGCUGGUUUGUGAAAAGUGUCAAAUGAUGCUGUGCACUCUACUAGGAGACCACUAUGGGGAGUUCAUCAAUUGAUUGUUCGGAUAAGAGGUUUUAGAGUGACAGCAUUCCUUGUAGUCAGUAGAUGAGUGUCAAGGUUUUUUAGUUUCUAGUGGAAUUUUUUAAAGUUCUACGAA